rnacentral:rRNA from 1 species
AUUGAACGCUGGCGGCAGGCUUAACACAUGCAAGUCGAACGAGUGGCGGACGGGUGAGUAAUGCUUGGGAAUCUGGCUUAUGGAGGGGGAUAACGACGGGAAACUGUCGCUAAUACCGCGUACCAUAAGAGCAGCACUAGUGGGAUAAGGUAGUUGGUGGUGUAAGGGCCUACCAGGCCUACGAUCUCUAGCUGGUCUGAGAGGAUGACCGGCAACACGGGAACUGGGACCCGGCCCGGACUCCUACGGGAGGCAGCAGUGGGGAAUAUUGCGCAAUGGGGGCAACCUGACGCGGCCAUGCCGCGGGAAUGAGGAAGGCCUUCGGGUUGUAAAGUUCUUUCGGUGACGAGGCGUUAAUCACAGAAGAAGCACCGGCUAACUCCGUGCCAGCAGCCGCGGUAAUAC